UUUCUAAAUUAUGGCUUCUCAGCCAUUUAUUCUUUGCUCUUCGGUUCUCUCCUCUUUCACUCAAAAUCUUAAAAUCAAAAUAAAAGUGAAAUUCACUGAGAGAAGAUCAGAAGAAAUAGAUAGAAGAGAGAGCAUCUCCUCUUGAGCUAUGAGAUCUAUCAUCGAUGGCGAGCGAUGACCCUCUCUCACUCGCUAGAGAUUUCUAGUAAAUCUGACUCUCCUUCACCAAACUAAAUCCCACUCUCUCUCACUGUAUCGAAUCCUGCUUCCUCCCCCGAUUCUUCAUCUUCUGCCGCCUCCAUUUUUCCCAUCUCAAGAUCUGCAUCUUCUUAAACCCAUGCCUUUGAUUUCCUUUAGGUGUUUUGUAAUUUUUCUCUAGAUACUUCUAUUUUCCUUUGUUUGUCACUUAUAUCUCUUUGGAUUCUGUCUUUUGAAGAACACAUUCAACAAUGAAAGCAGAGGUUUCAUCCGUUUCUAUGGUCUUAAGAUCUAAAAGGACUUGUUUCGCCAAAACAGUUUUGGUGUUGAAGUGUUUGGGUGUUUUUAUAUAAAAAGACAAAUCACCAUCUUUCAUAGAUCGCUGAAACAACAUUGAAAGUUUUUAUGAAACCCUUAUCUGAUUCAGUAGUUUUGUUCAGGUUUUGAGUGGAUUUUUCUGUUUUAUUGGUAUUACAUUUUUUCAUAGUUCGAUCUGCAAAUCUGUUUUACAGUUUGAUAUUUUUGACUACUAGUAGAACCCCGUGAAAGGUGAACACUUUUUAGGGAACACAAUCUUGGAAGUAAAAGUGGCUACACCAAAGGAAGAGAUGAGAUAACCUGUAAAAAAGUGAUGAGGAUUUUUAUUGCUCUAAUCCCUUCAUCAGUCUCUGAAUUAGAUUUCAAAGAUUUAAUGGAGGAUCUGAUUGCACACUCAUGAUCUGGGAGGUACAACAGUUGCUGUUGAGUGGAAGUUGUGACUGCAUCCAAAUUUAUCUUCUAAUUAUAUACUUGUGUAUAUUUGUGAUUUAGGUUUUUUGUAAUACUUUGGCCUUUGUAAUACUUUGAAUAUCAAUAAAUGUCUUUUUUUUUGCC